rnacentral:rRNA from 1 species
UACGAAGGGGGCUAGCGUUGCUCGGAUUUACUGGGCGUAAAGGGCGCGUAGGCGGCGUGUUAAGUCAGCUGUGAAAUCUCCGAGCUUAACUCGGAACGGUCAGCUGAUACUGAUGUGCUAGAGUGCAGAAGGGGCAAUCGGAAUUCUUGGUGUAGCGGUGAAAUGCGUAGAUAUCAAGAGGAACACCUGAGGUGAAGACGGGUUGCUGGGCUGACACUGACGCUGAGGCGCGAAAGCCAGGGGAGCAAACGGG